rnacentral:rRNA from 1 species
GCACUAAUGGGGGAAACCCUGAUGCAGCCAUGCCGCGGUGUGUGAAGAAGGCCUUCGGGUUGUAAAGCACUUUCAGUAGGGAGGAAGGUAGUGUAGUUAACACCUGCAUUAUUUGACGUUACCUACAGAAGAAGCACCGGCUAACUCCGUGCCAGCAGCCGCGGUAAUACGGAGGGUGCGAGCGUUAAUCGGAAUUACUGGGCGUAAAGCGCAUGCAGGCGGCCUGUUAAGUCAGAUGUGAAAGCCCGGGGCUUAACCUCGGAAUUGCAUUUGAAACUGGCAGGCUAGAGUCUUGUAGAGGGGGUAGGAAUUUCAGGUGUAGCGGUGAAAUGCGUAGAGAUCUGAAGGAAUACCAGUGGCGAAGGCGGCCCCCUGGACAAAGACUGACGCUCAGAUGCGAAAGCGUGGGGAGCAAACAGGAUUAGAUACCCUGGUAG